rnacentral:rRNA from 1 species
ACGAACGCUGGCGGCGUGCCUAAUACAUGCAAGUCGAGCGAAUCGACGGGAGCUUGCUCCCUGAGAUUAGCGGCGGACGGGUGAGUAACACGUGGGCAACCUGCCUAUAAGACUGGGAUAACUUCGGGAAACCGGAGCUAAUACCGGAUACGUUCUUUCUCGCAUGAGAGAAGAUGGAAAGACGGUUUACGCUGUCACUUAUAGAUGGGCCGCGGCGCAUUAGCUAGUUGGNGAGGUAAUGGCUCACAAGGCGACGAUGCGUAGCCGACUGAGAGGUGAUCGG